rnacentral:rRNA from 1 species
AUGCUGACAUUUGAGGUAAACAGAGCAGAAGCUAGACAGUAUUGUUGGCCGCAGCGGGAACCUAUAGAUUAUUCUCUUCUCGGCCUCUACUGUGAUACUGCACUCGAGCUUACAAAAAUGGAGAUGGCUGAAGAUAGCUGGCAGAUUCUUCAUGACAUCUUGGACAACUGCAAGUCAAAUGAAUUCUGCAUGAAGAUCUUUGUUCAUGCUUUGUAUGCCAACCCCAAGAGGAGCAGUGAAGAACUAUGCAAGUUGUGCAAAGCCCUGCAGCAGGUUUCAGAUAACUCAAUGAACAACAUUGCUAAGAAGAUGUUAAAGUUCACUUAUAGUGAUUUGCCUAAGGAUUACAAGUUGUGCUUGAUGUACCUAGCAAUUUUCCCUCGACGACAACCCAUCAGGCGGUCUACCUUGAUAGGACGAUGGGUCGUUGAAGGGCUAGUAACCAAGGAAGACUGGGAAAGUACUGUGCGUCAUGCCAAUCAAUGUUUUGACGUGCUUGUCACCCGUUGGCUUGUUUAUCCUGCUGAUACUAGUUCUACGGGACAGGUAAAGAGUUGUGUGAUAGGUGAUCAAGUCCAUGGAUUCAUUACUAAGAUCGCCAGAAAACAUGGCAUUUUAGGAAAACGCCUGUCACAUCACUUGGCUCGCUACUUCUCCAUUUUCAACCAUCUCCGCCUCCAUAGCUCUGAUAGGAUUGACAAAUUCUUCUCAAAGCUCUUUGAAGAAUCAUCGCGAGUAUCCCUGAUCAAAGUGUUAGAUCUAGAAGGUUGUCAAUUCUUUGGUGGGAAGAACCAACACUACCUCAAGGACAUCUGCAGCAAGAUGUUACUGCUGAAGUAUCUAAGCCUAAGGGGGACAAAUCUUACCAAGCUGCCAAGUGAAAUCAACAACCUCCGUGAGUUGGAAAUAUUGGAUAUCCGACAGACCAAUGUGCCUGCACCUGCAACAGUACAUGUCAUACUCUUGAAGUCGAAGCGUUUCUAG